CCUACGGGCGGCUGCAGUGGGGAAUAUUGCACAAUGGGGGAAACACUGAUCCAGCGACGCCGCGUGAGUGAAGAAGUAAUUCGUUAUGUAAAGCUCUAUCAGCAGGGGAGAAAAUGACGGUACCUGAGUAAGAAGCCCCGGCUAACUACGUACCAGCAGCCGCGGUAAUACGUAGGGGGCAAGCGUUAUCCGGAUUUACUGGGUGUAAAGGGAGCGUAGACGGGAGUGCAAGUCAGGAGUGAAAGGCGGGGGCUCAACCCCCGGACUGCUCUGGAAACUGUAAGGCUGGAGUGGAGGAGAGGUAAGCGGAAUGCCUAGUGUAGCGGUGAAAUGCGUAGAUAUCAGGAGGAACACCAGUGGCGAAGGCGGCUUACUGGACUGUAACUGACGUUGAGGCUCGAAAGCGUGGGUAGCAAACAGGAUUAGAUACCCUAGUAGUC
rnacentral:rRNA from 1 species